rnacentral:rRNA from 1 species
AAAAUUAGCGGAUGACCUGUGGCUGGGGGUGAAAGGCCAAUCAAACCGGGAGAUAGCUGGUUCUCCCCGAAAGCUAUUUAGGUAGCGCCUCGUGAAUUCAUCUCCGGGGGUAGAGCACUGUUUCGGCUAGGGGGCCAUCCCGGCUUACCAACCCGAUGCAAACUGCGAAUACCGGAGAAUGUUAUCACGGGAGACACACGGCGGGUGCUAACGUCCGUCGUGAA